CAGGAAUCUAGUGUUCAUUAGCAGCAGCUAGAGGCCCUGGUGUGCCCAUUCUCAUUCUCUCUGUGUCUUAAAUAAGUCAAUAAAUAAAUGAAUGGAGGGGAAGAGGGAGAGGCAGGUAGCUCCUGGGGCCUUGUUCUCUCUAGCAGCAAGUUCUGCCCAGGCCAGGCAUGCUUUGGAGGCGGGGUGGAAGGGGGGUCUUGGUGGAGGUUCCCUCCUGUGUGUGGUUGGCUCUUCUGUCUUCCAGGACCACCCCGUCAUGAGGUCCAGUGUAGAAGGAGCUAUGAGCCUAGGCCCGAGUACUGUCAGAUAUCUCCCAGGCGAUGCUGAGGUUCCAGAGGCCAUUGCCAGAGACAUGGCCCUAUCUUUUUAGAGUUUCACGUGAAAAAACACAUCGUUGCACCUUAGCAAGGACAUGGGACCUCUGGAUUCUGGCCACAGGGACCCCGAGGAACAGCCUUUCCCGGAAGACAGCGUCCUUCCCCACACCUGGGAUGGAGUCCCCGUGGAGAAGAGCGGCUCUGAAGAUGUGCCAUGGAAGACCUGCCCUGGCUUUGAUAGACAGCUCGAGGUGGGAGAGGCCCUAGCCCAGCGCCGGGUCUCUACCUGCCCGGGGAACGGAGGCCCCUUCCUGACCCUGUGUGGACUCAAAUCCUCCUGCAGUCCUUGCCACAGUUGGGAGCUGUGUGUGGGCACAGGCCUCCCCAGCGUGGGGUCUCAAUGGACCUGCCUGGCAUGGGCAGGGACACCAGCGGGCAUUGGGAGGGGGCGGGCCUUCGCCUCUGAGCCUGCAGUCUAUCUCCGCUUUUCCUCCGUCUUUUCACCGCGUGAGUGAUCUGCCAGUUGGGGUGUUCCGUGGCUGAGGCUUCUCCCCGCCUACUGGUUCUGGGGGAGAGGGAAGCCGCCUGAGAAGACAGAAGAGAGGGCUUUGAGAAGGGGAUGCUCCGGAGGUGAGGGGUCCCCACAGACACCCAUCUGCAGCUCAGAUGUCCUCUAGCCACAGAGAGAACGGGCCUCAUCCAGCCGGCUGGAGUCCCAGAGCCUCCCUAGGACACGGGGCUGCCCAGUUAGAACCCAGCUCCCUGUAGCGUGGCUACCAAGGGGCGCAGAGACUGGCAGACAGGCCCAGGGCCCUUCUCUCUAGGCACAGUUCCUCCAGAGGCCCGCUGGCCAUUCUCCAACUCCAAUCACAGUUGCCUCCCGAAGAGAGGGUCGCAGCUUCUGAGACAGGGCACGGUGUGGCCUUCCUCAGGCCACUUGAGAAACCGGGGAAGUCUUUCUCCCCAGGGUUGGAGGGUCGUGUACUUAAUCAGCUCAGCAUCAGACAUUCCUAUUCUCACCCUGCUAGGGGCUCGGAAGUCCAGGUGCCAGGGGUGGCUUUGGCUCACCCUCUGCAGGUGGUGUAGCUUGUCUUCAGGUCACCUCUCUUGGCGGUGGGAGAGAGAAGGCUCUGGGAUCUCAAGCAAGAAGGACGGCAGCCCAGUCGCGUCAGAGCCCAUACUUGUGACCUCGCUUAAGCUCUGUCCUACCCUUAAUGGGUCGUGUUGCUGACGCAGUCACACAGGAGGCCGGAAAUCAGCCUGUGUUUUGGGGGGUGGGGGUGGGAUGUCGCACAACCUGGUCUUGAAUGAUGGUCCUAUAUAAACAUGGUCGUCUGAGGCCAUCUUCUCUCCCCUUCAGAAUCCUCCCACAGGGGCGAGAGGGGCAGAUGAAUGGAAGUGAGUUCAUGACUGCGGGGCUGUGCAUGGGUGGGCUGAGUUACCCCGGAGACCCAGAGAAGCCGUAGUCAGCACUGAGCCAAGUCCCUGAGAGCCUGAAGCCUAUAGGGUCUUGGGGAUGCCCUCUGUUGUACAGCCUUGGGCGAGACUCGCCUCUUCCAGCCUUGACUUCCCACUCUGAAAUGGGAGCCCAGUGUGGUGCUUCUGGUGGUACAGGCAGCGUCUGUGAGGUCACGUGCCUGGCCGAGUGCUUAGCAGAUGCUCAGUAAAGUCCCCUCCACCUCGGGGUUCAGGCUGGGGGUGGAUCUAUCUUGGGCACGCCGGAGUAUAAACGCUGGCAUCUUCUGAUCCAAGGGCGUUCAUGGCAAGCCCAUUCCCUGCCCGCAAGCAUGGGACAGUGGCCACAUUGUGUAGCUCACCACGUUUCCGGGGGUACCUGAGUCUCUACCUUUGAGUACCCUCUUCUGGGCUCUUUCCCACAGCAGCUACUUUGGGGGGGUACAGGUGUGCAAGGCCAGCCUUGUUUCCAGUCCUUACACGUCGUAGGCAGGUGGGAGAAAACCAGCUGUCACGGAGAGUUCCAGGAUGGGUGGCAUAAUAGCAUAAAAGCAAUUAGCUACAACCAGGCUCUGCGUGCUUGGGGGCCUGACGGGGAGAUCCUAGCACGAGGGCUGCCCAGCGAGGCUGACCCGCACGGGCUCGGGGGACGAGAACCUCGCAGUUUAGCUGACAGUUUGUAGGGAAUAUUCCAGGGAAACCCCUCAUUGUACGAUCCAUACGUUUCUUUAGCGCAGGACUUAUCAGAGCCUUUCAAGGGCCACCGAGGACGUGAAACACGCAGGGACAGGGUAGGAUGGAGGGUUCCUGUCUCGUUCUGGCCAUGGAACCGUUUUCUCGCUGAGCGUCAUGGAGAACUGUGGGAGAUGCCAGGCUGGGAAUUCGGGGUGUGGCUGGUAAUAGGAGAUACUGUGACUAGUGUACGGAGAGGCAUAAAGAAAGCAGACCAGGAGGCCCUGGAGAGUUCCAACUCGGUCCCGAGGGCCAGGCCAGCACCGUAUAGCUUUUGUAGAGGCAGGGGAAGGUGGAUCAGUGGUGAGAGCAGCCUGACAGUUGGUGACAAAAGAGAGACGUCCAUGGUGUUCCUGGCGAUCAGCUGUUUCAUGGAAGGAUGCUGGAGUGUGUGCUUGUGUACUCUGUGUGUGUGUGUGCAUGUGUGUGUGCGUGUGUGUGGUGUGUAUAUAGAAUGAAUAGACACAGCCCUCUGGGAAGGGGCCGACCAGAACCAGGCAGGGGGUUUCCACCCUGGAUAGAAAGGUCCAUUGGGAUGUACUUGCCCAGGGCAGGGCUCCAAGACCCACCGUGGAGAAACAGGGAAGCCCUUGCUUCCAGGCGGGGCCCAGGAGAUCAGGCUUGAUCCUGGGGGCGGGUGUUAAGGGGGUAUAGUUGCAGACCCCCUGCCCUGGUCGGGCCCCAUGCCUGGGUUGGUAGAGGCAGGAGGCCUCUGCAGCUGCCGCUGGGGCUGGGGUGGGGGUACCGGCCGGGAGGGCUGCAUGGUGUGAUUAACCUACUAACCCUAACCCAGGGCUCGGUCAGGACGCUGUGACCCGGGAUGAGGUGCUUGGCCUUCUGCAGAUCGACUAACCCACUAACCAGGCCCGGAGCAUGCCCGUACUAACCCCGCAGCAGCCAGAUCCUACUAACCGCGCAGCUCGAGGGUCUCGCCAGAGGCCUGGACAUGGGAGCGGACGGGGGCUCCGACGGAAGGCCCUUCCUGAGGGGCUGGGGUCUUUGUGCAGACCCACCGUGCAGGACGGGGCAUGGCCCGUGAGACUCGACAACCCUGCCACUUGUGAGCAAGGUGCCUUGCCUUCUCUGAACCCGUUUCCUCGCUGGUAGAAUGAGAGUCCUGUUACUCUCCCCAACUGGCUGCAGUCCCACCCAUUUAAAGUCCUUGACAUACAAGGAGAAAGGGUGUGUACAGGGGUGGGGGGGGGGAGGAUGGUCCCUCGGGAACCUUGGGUGACUCGGGCACCCCCUGUUCUCUGGGUGUUCUGCACAGAGACCUUUCUGCCUGGGGCAGACACUUGCUUUGAACCCUUAACCGUCUUUUCCCAGUGCUUCCUUCUCUAGCUUAUUUUUUUCUGCCGGCAGCUUUUUAGUUCUAUUACUAACUUGUCUAACCCGGGGUGGGUUGGGGAGCGCCUGCUCUGCGUCCUGUCGUCCCUUAACAAACUGACGGCCCUGCGUGCCUUCUUCCUUCUCUCCUAGUGACUCCCGUGUGUGUCCGCUGAGGUGUCCCUUGUCUGCUGGUUAUCCGUGCUCUCACUUUACUAACUCAGCCCUUACUAACCAUUUUCUCUUCUUACUAACCCAGCCCUGCCGAGCUCUGGGCCCCCCGGGGGCUGGUCCUCUCCUUCUGGCAAACAGAUAUCGCAGGGCUGCCCUGGCCAGGUCUGAGGCAGGGGACUGCCCCAUUAAUUCAUGAUGCUCAGAGGAGGAGGCGGUCCUGUCGAUGUGUGGGGGCGCUGGACUCCGAGCAUGACCUCUCUCCUUUGUGCAGAAAAUCUGGU